rnacentral:tRNA from 1 species
ACAUUUCUAUUAUAAAAGUAUAUUUGACUUCCAAUCAAAAGGUUCACUAUGUGAGAAAUGUA